GUUGAUUUCCGCCGGCGAGGGCGGAAUCUUUAAAAUCGCCUGGGAAGAUAGAGAGAUAGAUAGAUAGAGACAGCCCAGAGCCUGGACGCCUAAAACUUAUCUAGGCUAAAGCCUAAAUUCUCGUUUUGACACAUUUAGUUCUGAGAACGAGGCUAUAUUGCGUUUUAAACUAAUAGAAAUACAUAUACAAAGGGUAAUUCCCUCCCACCCAGGGAAUUUAUUUAGGUAGCCAGAAAGUUUCAUGCUGGUGAAAAGCAGUUUGCUGAUUAAAUUGAUUUAUUGCUAAACUAGCUAUAUAUUUGAUACUGUGAAUACGAUAUAAAUACAUAAAUAUAUAUAUAUAUAUAAAAGACACCUAUCGUACUUCUGUUGUUAAUGUGCAGAAAUUGUCGUCGACUGCUUCGGGAACCAGUCCCAAAUUGUUCUAUGAUACAAAACAUGUUGCCACGAUUUCAUUGAACUAAUUUUUACCCAACAAUUCACAAUUUCAAGCGUCAUUCAAACGUGAUUUGCAUGUGAAGAUUUGUUGACAGAAGCGGUUAAAAAAAAGAUGGAACAAUGAUGAAACAGAAGAGCUGGCUGAUUUACUCAAUUACCACUUUUUGUUGGAUGCGUUUGAAAUAAGAAUAUAUUUGUUAAAUACAGAUUAUGAAUUGAAAUAAAAAAAUACUUGUAAUAGCCUAAUUUGUAAAGUAUUUUUAUAUAAUUCAGAUUGACUUUCGUGGUAAAAAAUCUCACGAUUAGGGAUUGGUCUAGGCUGAAAUGUCUAAAAAUGUGUAAAUUGUUAGCUUUUUCGUUUAACAUAUAUAUAGCUGUACAA